AACGAACGCUGGCGGCAUGCCUAACACAUGCAAGUCGAACGAGACCUUCGGGUCUAGUGGCGCACGGGUGCGUCACGCGAGGGAACCUUCCCUUAUGGUCGGAAUAACUCCCCGAAAGGGGUGCUAAUACCGGAUAAUAUCUUCUGACCAAAGAUUUAUCGCCUUUGGAUGGGCCCGCGUGGGAUUCGCUAGUUGGUAGGGUAAAAGCCUACCAAGGCGCCGAUCCAUAGCUGGUCUGAGAGGAUGAUCAGCCACACUGGGACUGAGACACGGCCCAGACUCCUACGGGAGGCAGCAGUGGGGAAUAUUGGACCGUGGGCGAAAGCCUGAUGCAGCUAUGCCGCGUGAGUGAUGAAGGCCUUAGGGUUGUAAAGCUCUUUUACCCGGGAUGAUAAUGACGGUACCGGGAGAAUAAGCUCCGGCUAACUACGUG
rnacentral:rRNA from 1 species